rnacentral:misc_RNA from 1 species
CGAGCGUCAUUACAACCCUCAAGCUCUGCUUGGUAUUAGGCUUCGCCUGUUAGGCGGGUCGUAAAAUCAGUGGCGGUGCAUUUGGCUUCAAGCGUAGUAAUAUUUCUCGCUUUGGAGGACUGGAUGUUGUGCCUGCUAGCAACCCUAAUUUUUUAUCACAGGUUGACCUCGGAUCAGGUAGGGAUACCCGCUGAACUUAA